AACGCUGCUGGUUAAUAGGCCAGAUUAAUUGGGGGCCUCCUAAAAUACGUACUCUUUAUGUACGGAUAACGGAAUGGUGUGGACGUCUGGUCUGGUACCGAUCGACUACCGAGUAACCGACCUCACCUUUCUCCCGCCAUAUUUGUGAAAUCGUUAGUUAUGCUUGAAAUGGAAAUCUGGUAAUAAUCAAACCCUCAAUUCGUCACUCCCUCCGCUCUUCUUCCUCACAAAGUCAACCCUCUCUCUCCGAAAUUGUUGAAUCGAAUUGGGCGCCAUGGAAGAAAACUGUAUUUACAGAAACCCUAACUCAUCAAUUGAAGAACGAAUCAAAGACCUCCUUUCUCGUAUGACCCUGCAAGAGAAGCUCGCUCAAAUGGCGCAAAUCGAACGAACCGUCGCUUCUCCUACCUCUCUCAAAGAUAUUGGCAUUGGUAGUGUAUUGAGUGCCGGUGGAAGUGCGCCUUUCGACAAGGCAGUGUCGUCUGAUUGGGCUGAUAUGAUUGAUAAUUUUCAGAAAUUGGCCAUGGAAUCACGAUUAGGGAUUCCAAUUAUUUAUGGUGUUGAUGCUGUUCAUGGUAAUAAUAAUGUUUAUGGUGCUACCAUUUUCCCUCACAAUGUUAAUCUUGGUGCCACUAGGGAUGCUAAUUUGGCUCAUAGAAUUGGUGCUGCAACUGCUUUGGAAGUUAGAGCUAGUGGAGCUCAUUACACCUUUGCUCCCUGUGUAGCUGUCUGCAGAGAUCCGAGAUGGGGAAGAUGCUAUGAGUGUUAUAGCGAAGACACUGAAAUUGUGAGGAAGAUGACUUCCAUUGUAUCAGGGUUGCAGGGGGAUCCACCAAAAGGACACCCAAACGGUUAUCCGUUUCUGAAAGGAAGAAAGAAUGCCAUUGCUUGUGCGAAACACUUUGUUGGUGAUGGAGGAACACACAAAGGUGUAAAUGAGGGGAAUACAAUCUCUUCAUAUGAAGAUUUAGAGAGGAUUCAUAUGGCACCUUAUCUAGAUUGUAUUUCUCAGGGAGUUUGCACUGUCAUGGCCUCCUAUACCAGUUGGAAUGAGAGAAAGCUACAUGCUGAUCGCUUUCUUCUCACUGAGGUCCUUAAAGAUAAGCUAGGAUUCAAGGGAUUUGUAAUUUCAGAUUGGGAAGGCAUUGAUAGACUCUGUGUACCUCAAGGUGCAGACUUUCGCUUCGGCAUUACAGCUGCUGUUAAUGCAGGAAUUGACAUGGUAAUGGUACCUUUUAAGUACGAAAAGUAUCUAGAGGACUUGACCUAUCUUGUGGAUUCAAAAGACAUACCGUUGUCUAGGAUUGACGAUGCUGUUGAACGGAUUCUUAGGGUAAAAUUCGUUGCAGGCCUUUUUGAGCACCCUUACACUGACCGGUCAUUGCUGGAUACAGUUGGCUGCAAGUUGCAUCGCGAGCUAGCACGUGAAGCAGUCCGGAAGUCUUUGGUGCUCCUCAAAAACGGGAAAGACCCUAAAUAUCCAUUCCUUCCGCUGGGCAGGAAUGCCAGAAAAGUUCUUGUUGCUGGAACACAUGCCAACAAUCUUGGAUAUCAAUGUGGUGGGUGGACUAUAACUUGGUACGGCCUUAGUGGCAGAGUUACUAUUGGCACUACCAUUUUGGAUGCUAUUAAACAAGCCGUUGGAGACAACACUCAAGUGAUAUAUGAAGAGUUUCCAUCACGUGACACCUUAGCAAGAGAAGAUUUUGAUUUUGCCAUUGUUGCUGCUGGUGAAGCUCCAUACGCAGAAUUCACAGGGGACAAUUCGGUGCUCAAUGUUCCCUUGAAUGGAGCUGAUGUAAUUAGUGCAGUUGCAGAUAAAAUUCCUACACUUGUCAUUCUGGUUUCUGGAAGGCCUUUAGUUUUAGAGCCUUGGCUUUUGGGAAAAAUCGAUGCUUUGGUUGCUGCAUUUUUACCUGGAAGUGAAGGAGAUGGAGUAACUGAUGUUCUUUUUGGAGAUUAUGAAUUUGAGGGUCUUCUCCCUGUGACAUGGUUUAAAAGUGUUGAUCAACUGCCUAUGACGGCUGGACAGAAUUCAUACGAUCCUUUAUUCCCCUUGGGUUUUGGGUUGAAAACCAACAACGGAAAACAUGUAAUUUGAUGAUUUUGAGUAUCAAGAAUCGCUACAGGAUUCCAACUGUCAAAGAAAAAGGAUCAUGAAGUCAUCAUCGUUUGGUGCUCUAAUAAAGUGAGCCUCAGUCGCCAAAUCAGUUUUGGAGUGGCUACACUUUUCUGUGGACUCACAUCAAAAUAUAAAGGCCUCAAUACACAAAGCAUCUUUCUUUCUCAU